UUUUAAAAAAAUUCGAAAAAACUUGAAAUCUCUGAAAAUUUACGCAAUUCCCUAUUGACAAAUAAUUUGAAAACAGUUAUGAUAGUUACAAAUAAAUGAGAAAGGGAAACAGAGAUGUUACAAAUGUGUCAAAAUCAUUCAGCUAAUCAUACUUAUUUCUACGGCUAUUUUAGAUAGUGUUUGUAGACAUGGUAAACAUGGAUGCAAACACGGGAACGUAAAGUUUGUAUCUAUGUGGCUGUAGCUAUUUUGACAUGUGCCUCAUAGAUGAUACAUCUAAAUGGCACGGAUAAUUCAUUCUGUUUUCCUAUACAGAUGAAAUAUAAGGACCGUUUAGAGUGUAGUUUAAGCGGUCCUUUUUU
rnacentral:sRNA from 1 species